rnacentral:rRNA from 1 species
AUUGAACGCUGGCGGCAGGCUUAACACAUGCAAGUCGAACGAGUGGCGGACGGGUGAGUAAUGUCUGGGAAACUGCCUGAUGGAGGGGGAUAACUACUGGAAACUGUAGCUAAUACCGCAUACCAUCGGAUGUGCCCAGGUGGGAUUAGCUAGUUGGUGGGGUAAAGGCUCACCAAGCCGACGAUCCCUAGCUGGUCUGAGAGGAUGAACAGCCACACUGGGACAGAGACACGGUCCAGACUCCUACGGGAGGCAGCAGUGGGGAAUAUUGCGCGAUGGGAGCAAGCCUGACGGAGCCAUGCCGCGUGUAUGAAGAAGGCCUUCGGGUUGUAAAGUUCUUUCAGCGGGGAGGCGUUACCCGCAGAAGAAGCACCGGCUAACUCCGUGCCAGCAGCCGCGGUAAUAC